rnacentral:rRNA from 1 species
GACGAAGGGGGCUAGCGUUGUUCGGAAUUACUGGGCGUAAAGCGCUCGCAGGUGGUUCAUUGCGUCGUGCGUGAAAGACCCCGGCUCAACUGGGGAGGGUCGUGCGAAACGGGUGAACUAGAGGCCAGUAGGGGGAUGCGGAAUUCCGGGUGUAGUGGUGGAAUGCGUAGAGAUCCGGAGGAACACCAGCGGCGAAGGCGGCAUCCUGGACUGGUCCUGACACUCAGGAGCGAAAGCGUGGGGAGCGAGUCCGG